rnacentral:rRNA from 1 species
GACGAACGCUGGCGGCGUGCUUAACACAUGCAAGUCGAACGGAAAGGCCCUGCUUUUGUGGGGUGCUCGAGUGGCGAACGGGUGAGUAACACGUGAGUAACCUGCCCUUGACUUUGGGAUGACUUCAGGAAACUGGGGCUAAUACCGGAUAGGAGCUCCUGCUGCAUUGUGGGGGUUGGAUAGUUUCGGCGGUUGGGGAUGGACUCGCGGCUUAUCAGCUUGUUGGUGGGGUAGUGGCUGACCAAGGCUUUGACGGGUAGCCGGCAUGAGAGGGUGACCGGGCACAUGGGGACUGCGAUACGGACCAGACGCCUACGGGAGGCAGCAGUGGGGAAUAUUGCACAAUGGGCGGAAGCCUGAUGCAGAAACGCCGCGUGCGGGAUGACGGCCUUCGGGUUGUAAAAAGCAUUAGCCUGUGACGAAGCGUGAGUGACGGUAAUGGGUAAAGAAGCACCGGCUAACUACGUG